AUGUAUUCAAAGAAAUUUAUGAUGUCAAAGUGUGCUCGAAAACGUCUUAGCUGCUAUGUUCGUUCUGUUAAGCCUGCUAUUAGGCACUAUGUGUGUGAGAUGAACAAGACUUUCACCAAAGCUGGGCAGAGAAUGUACUUCUCUACUUUGUUCACUGAGAAGCACCUCAUGAAGUUUCUCUCCAGUCCGGUUGAUCGAAUGCGGAUUAAGCUUUCAUCUGGGCGUUGUUUAACCUAUGUUCAACUGAUGAAAGGGGUUGAUAAGAGGGCUGCUAUAACACAUAACUGGAGCCGCUUCGUGGAAAGAGCGAAGCUGAAAGAACGGGAAAUCUGUGUCUUUUCUCUCCGACAUUGCAAGGGGGUGCCAGUGUUCACUGUGCACAAAAUCUGA
rnacentral:rRNA from 1 species